CGAACGGGUGAGUAAUACAUCGGAACGUACCCAGUAGUGGGGGAUAGCUCGGCGAAAGCCGGAUUAAUACCGCAUACGACCUACGGGUGAAAGCGGGGGAUCGAAAGACCUCGCGCUAUUGGAGCGGCCGAUGUCGGAUUAGCUUGUUGGUGAGGUAAAAGCUCACCAAGGCGACGAUCCGUAGCUGGUCUGAGAGGACGACCAGCCACACUGGGACUGAGACACGGCCCAG
rnacentral:rRNA from 1 species